rnacentral:lncRNA from 10 species
GAAGGGUGUUAUUUUUUCAGAUGUUCAGCCCACAAGAGCUUACUGGUGAAGGAAUGGGACAAGACCCAUCUUUAUGCAAAGCCAGCGUUACAGUAAUGUUCCAGGAGCAGCUUGUUGCUAUAUACCAUUGAAAAGCCUUCAGAGCUGAGAGGUACUACUAACCAAUAACCUGCUUGGCUCAAAGGGCCAGCACCUUCUCUCUAAAGCCCAAGAGGAGUUUGAGGAAAACUAGGUGUCUGUGUUCACUCCAGGCUGAAGUUACAGGUCUGAGCAAAUAAGGUGUAUAAAAAAUGGAAUCUGUCUUGGAGGACAUCAGAAGGUGAAUUUUCCAAGUUCUUGGACAACCUAGCUGUUGAAAAGCUUUCUGGGUUUGGGGGGUAUUUCAGAUGUACCUUAAAGUGUUAGCAGACACAGAUUAAGACACUGGGAGCCAAUGAAACAGCAGUUGAGGGUUUGCUGUGUAUCACAUUUCUGUAUUUUAUCACCCCCUUCCUGCAACAUUAUUUAUCUGGAAUCUACCUGCCCUUUUGUUUUUUAGAUACAAGGGCUUGGUUUUGUUACCCAGGCUGGUUUCAAGGCCAUAGCUUUAAGAGAUCCUCUCACCACAGAUUUCCAAAGUGCUGGGAUUGCAGGUGUGAUUCAUGGCACCCAGACUUUGCUGCCUUUCUUACAUGAUCCAGGCCCAGAACCCAAACUCAGGCACUGUAUAGAUGACCACUUUCGUAAACUACUGACCUAGCUUGUUGCCAAUUGUUGAUUGAACUUCCCAUAACUCCACUUCGUGUCUGUUCCUCUGUAUACAGCCACCUUCUGUUCCCGUCAUGAGCCUUUAGGUCUCCAUUUGCAUAUUGCAAAUACUAUGUUCCAUGUAGGUAGCUCAUUCAGGGCCUUGCUCUUCACUUCAAAAAAGGUUCCCUUGAGGACUGGCUGUCAAUUUGUGUUGCUGUGUUGGUUG